rnacentral:lncRNA from 1 species
AAUCAAUGCUGGGAAACUGAAGCUGCGAGUGUCCGAGGGACCCUGGGAUGUCUCUGGGGUCUGCGUAGGUACCCAUGGAGGAGCAGAGAUGGUGGAUGAAGGAGGCCGUGGAGGAGAAAAGAACACAGGAAUUUACCAGAAAUUGGCAGGCUGUGGAAUUGAUGGAGUCCACUUACUGUCCAGGCCUAAGGGGUCCAAUAAUCCCAUCCUUUGCCGAAAGCUUUACUGUGGGACUGGCAUCAUUUCAAGCAUUUAAUCCUCGUCCCAACUCUACGAGGAAGGGUCUCGCUUUGUCACCCAGGCUGGAGUGCAAUGGUGCAAU